UGCGUAUGGGCCUCCGCGUCAGGCGCUUGGUUCAUGCAGCCAUGCUAACUGCUGUUUAUCGGGCACGAAGGCAGGAAUUUGCAGUCGGAGUCCCAUGUUGCUCCAGUUGGAUAGGGAGUGAGGGAAUUCCAAGCACCCAGUCUCUAUGGUCACCGAGUGAUAUCGCCUCCUCGAAUGCCACAAAUAGGGUAUCCAAAGAAGACUACAAAGCAAAUUUCAUCUAGAGCUGUGACAUUUUCAUACAAUGUGAUAGUAAAUGGACUGGAAGCCAUGAUAUGCAAGCAAGCUUUCCUCAGAGUUCAUGGUUUACUGAACCACACAAUUUGAGUGAGGAAUUUGCAACAGCAAAUGAAGUUGGGUCACGCAGUACCAAAAGAAGAUGGAAGAGGCAAACAUGGAAAUCAUCCACAUAAAUUUCAAAACGAAGUCGUGUAAGAUGUCAGAGACUUCCUCAGUGCUAUACCAAAAUAUAACAGUCACUAUAGCAGGCAGCAGAACCC